rnacentral:rRNA from 1 species
AAUGAACGCUGGCGGCAGGCCUAAAACAUGCAAGUCGAACGCCCUAGCAAUAGGGAGUGGCGCACGGGUGAGUAACAUGUGGGAAUAUGCCUUUUGGUACGGAACAACGUGUGGAAACGAACGCUAAUACCGUAUGGUCCCCCCGGGGUAAAGAUUUAUCGCCAAAAGAUUAGCCAGCACUAGAGUAGCUAGUUGGUAAGGUAAUGGCUUACCAAGGCGACGAUCUAUAGCUGUUCUGAGAGGAAGAUCAGCCACACUGGGACUGAGACACGGUCCAGACUCCUACGGGAGGCAGCAGUGGGGAAUAUUGGACAAUGGGCGCAAGCCUGAUCCAGCCAUGCCGCGUGUGUGAAGAAGGCCUUCGGGUUGUAAAGCACUUUCAGCGAGGAGGAAGGGUGGUGUGUUAAUAGCACAUCAUUUUGACGUUACUCGCAGAAGAAGCACCGGCUAACUCUGUGCCAGCCGCCGCGGUAACAC